rnacentral:snoRNA from 1 species
UGGUGAUGAUGAAAAUCUAGAUUUCGUUGAAAGCAUUUCUGUGUUUGAUGUGAUAUCGACAUGGCGAUGACCAUGUUGAUCCUGAGCAGUUACCUGAGCAA